CUCCUCACACGCUGGACUGCACUUCAUAAUCCUGCCAACACUUAAAUCCCUUUUGCUUCCUAGACUGUCCAGAGCAAUUGAUAAUGCUGAUGCUUUAGGAAGCAAUGCUGUGCUUUAAGUCAGUUUGGAACUCAUGUUUCAGCAAGGGCCCACUGCGUUCCCAGGCAUGGCAGAAAUCAAGUGAAACGUAAUGCAUAGAGCCUGACCACCUCUGGUCCCAAAGGCUUGCUUGGAACUCCUCACAGGAUGGAAACCUUCCUAUUUCUGCAUUAAUCCUUGUCUGCUGGCCAAGUUCCAACUCAGAAGAACUGUAGGAUGAAGAGAAGGUGGUGACGCAACACUGACCAGAGCAGAACCAAAGAGAAUGACAGACUCAUGAGAUCCUCUGAUCUGGUCCCCUCCCUCAGGAUGCAAGUCAUGAGCCCCACAUCCCGGGAUACCUGCAGGGACUGUUCCUCAGCGAGAAAGCAGAGUCUCUGUCAUGUAUCAAAAUAUGCCGCUACAAUUUUGUGACUUCACAGUCCUGCUUCCUGGAUUCCACCUCUCGGGUUCUCUUAUUGCAUUUAUGUGUAGACAUAUCUGCGUCCCCUCCUUGACAGCUGGCAUCUGACAUUAGUCCUCUUGGUAUCCCCAUGCCUGGGACAGUUCCUAACACAUAUGGGGGCUUAAUGAGUGUCACAUUGAAUUAUACUUUUUGUAUCCCCACUCUAUACCUUUCGCACAUAGAAGGCAUUCCUUCAAUAUUGGUGAAUUACGCAAUUAAUGGAGGAACGAUGGGAAUGAUCAUACUAAGAGAAAUUAAUCAUGAUUGUAGGCAGAUCUUAGGGGCAGAGAUAAAUGACAAUUUCCUCCUUCUGUUUUCAUUUAUCUUUAGAGAGACAGGGUUUCUUUCCUUUAUCAAUUCCAUAUCCCUUGUACUCCAAACUAGUAUCUAACCUUGUUAAAAUGAACCCCUUUCUUUUCCCCACAAGGCCAAUUUCAUAAUUAUAUAUUCUGUUUACUUACGUAUCAACCAUUUUAAGAAUUACAGCAACCUGACUAUCACAAAGUUUGUAAGGAUUAAGUGGCCAAAGACACUUAAACAACACAGCUUAGCAUUCUUUCAGUUCCCUUAAAAACAGCACAGUUCUAAAGAAACCAAAUUGCAGA
rnacentral:lncRNA from 1 species